GACAGAGGAUGCAAGCGUUAUCCGGAAUGAUUGGGCGUAAAGCGUCUGUAGGUGGCUUUUUAAGUCUGCCGUCAAAUCCCAGGGCUUAACCCUGGACAGGCGGUGGAAACUACCAAGCUGGAGUACGGUAGGGGCAGAGGGAAUUUCCGGUGGAGCGGUGAAAUGCGUAGAUAUCUGGAGGAAUACCGGUGGCGAAGGCGGCAUCCUGGACCGACAUUGACGCUGAUGAGCGAAAGCCAGGGGAGCAAACGGG
rnacentral:rRNA from 1 species